AGCAGCCGCGGUAAUUCCGGCUCCAAUAGCGUAUAUUAAAGUUGUUGCAGUUAAAAAGCUCGUAGUUGAAUUUCGGGGUUAGUAGGUUGGUCAUGCCUCUGGUAUGUACUGGUCUCACUGAUUCCUCCUUCCUGAUGAGCCGUAAUGCCAUUAAUUUGGUGUUGCGGGGAAUUUGGACUGUUACUUUGAAAAAAUUAGAGUGUUUAAAGCAAGCUAACGCUUGAAUACAUUAGCAUGGAAUAAUGAAAUAGGACGUUCGAUCCUAUUUUGUUGGUUUCUAGGAUUGACGUAAUGAUUAAUAGGGAUAGUUGGGGGCAUUAGUAUUCAAUUGUCAGAGGUGAAAUUCUUGGAUUUAUUGAAGACUAACUACUGCGAAAGCAUUUGCCAAGAAUGUUUUCAUUAAUCAAGAACGAAAGUUAGGGGAUCGAAGACGAUCAGAUACCGUCGUAGUCCUAACCAUAAACUAUGCCGACUAGGGAUCGGAUGAUGUUAAUUUUUUCAAUGACUCAUUCGGCGCCUU
rnacentral:rRNA from 1 species